rnacentral:tRNA from 1 species
GCCUGACUGGCUCAGUCAGUAGAGCAUGCGAUUCUUGAUCUCAGGGUUGUGAGUUUGAGCCCCACAUCGGGUG